GUAGAGGGGCGCAAGAGACAAAGGAAGAAGCUCUCAUUCCGGCUAGCAUCGGCAUCUAGAGAGGUUCUCUUUUGUUGACGCGCAUGUGUCAUUUUUGACUUAUGUAACCAGAUAUCAUACAACUUUGAUAUGGUUUUAAAGUUGUUCGUUUUUCUGAAUCCGGCAAAAAAGCCGUUUUUUUUCACCCUUUCUUCUUUACGGAGACUUUUUCGAACUUAUAGUUUGAAAUAUAAAAUCGAGUAAUUAGUGGGACGAGAAAAUUUAUUUUCUCGACAUUUUUUUGUGUCGUCGUCUCACCCGUUUUUUUUUUUUUAAAUUUUAUUAAUUCAAUGUCGGCUCAAUCCGGCUCGAUCUGGCGCUUCGUUUUUUUUAAUCCGUCUUGGCAACAGGAUUUGAUACAAGUUUUAAAAAAAUAACGUUCUCCUCCUCGUCGCCUUGAUUUGCUCUGCCACGGGUAUGGCUUUUUUAUACAGAAAUUUUUUGAUUUCAUGAAAAUAUUGAAACUAUAAAAAAAAUUACGUUUGAUUUAAAAGGGUUUCCAGCGAAUAGUAAGGACAGGAGAUUGGAAUUCUUGUAAUGGGAUAAAAAUACAUAAUUACAGUAAUUAUACCAAAGGCAUGUUCUUUUGAUAUAUGUUGAAUUGACCAUAAAACAGGUCUGGUCCAACUGGUCUGGGAAGGGCCCGGGAUUUGGGGGUGCGGAUGAUGGCGAAUGAUGUUUGACGGGGGCAGCACGUUCUGCCAACAACUUGAUUUCCCCCAAAAUUGUGAGUUGCUGUCGGAGCAGCUCCUCCAACGGCCUCAAGUUGGGUGGAGGAGCUGCUGCAGCUGCUGCGGGAGGGGGGUUGAAAUAUUCGACCACGUCAUUCCACCAUUUCACUGAAAUAAUAAAAAUAAAAAAAAUAAUAAAUAAAAAUCUAAAAAAAAUAAAAAAAUAAAAAAAAUAAUACUCACAAUUACGUAGGAGUCGACCCCCAAACAUCUUUAAAAAAGGCCAUAUGAUAUACUUGCACGCAAUCAGAAUUAAGAUUCCAUACGAACUUCGAAGAAAUUUCAGAUCCAUAUCAAGCACUGCUUGACCUGCUGCUCCCGCUAGCCGUUCAACAUUCACAAACUUGUAGGACGGGGGCAACACGAUCAACUAACAACAAACCCCUGAUUUCCCCCAUCACUAAGAGCUGCUGUUGGAGUAGCUCCUCCAACGGCCUCAAGUUGGGUGGAGGAGCUGGAGGAGCUGCUUCGGGAGGGGGGUUGAAAUAACGGACUGCGUCAUUCCACCAUCUCCCUGAAAUAAUAAAAAUAAAAAAAUAAAUAAAUAAAAAAAUAAAAAUAAAUAAAAAAAAAAUAAUACUUACAAUUGCGUAGGAGUCGACCCCCCAACAAUUUGAUGAAGGGCCAUAUGAUAUACUUAACCGCAAUCACGAUUAAGAUGCCAUAGGAGCUUCGAAGAAAUUUUAGGUCGAUGUCAAGCACAGCUUGACCUGCUGCUCCCGCAAGGCCAUCAACAUUGACAAACUUUGGAUCUACUUCUGCAAAAUAAAAAAAAAAAAAAAUAAACAUAUAUUUUUAACACGCAUAACUUAUUAUUUACCAAUUGGCCUGGCAGCCGCACCAGGCAAAAGAAGAAGAAGACUACCAGUUGCCAAGAUGGUAGCCAGUAGUCGGUGGUUCCAUUUGUUUAAAAAUGGUUGGAUAGACGUAUGUAGCUUGGUCCAGUUUGACAGGUGAAAAUAUAAUUAUCAAAUUAAUUAUCACAUGGAUCGAAUCCAUCGUUAUCAACUGCUGAAUUUUGCCAUGGCACGGCGCCCUCCUCCGAAUUGAAGUAGUUUUUGAAAGAAUCGCGGACUGCUUUUGUUUCAUGACAAAUACGACAUCUUCUAUUCAACAUCUUUUAAUUUCUAGGUUCGCAAUGGCAAUUAGCUUGAAUCGGGGAAUAAAACAAAAAAGAAACAUAUUGCGUUUUCUGGGGGGGGGGGGAUUCCUGCAACACCAGUUGGUGGGUGUCCCGGGAAAUUCGCAAUGGCCAUUAGCUUGAAUCAAGGACAUUUUAAAAAUUGUGUGUUCUUUUUGUUUUUUUAUUAUGAAAUUGAAAAAAUAAAUAAAAUCUUUCAUUAAAUUCUGGUAGCCGGUUUUCUUUAUUUUUAAUAUAAUUUAUGUAUAAAAAACUAAGCCCCAAGGGGUCGAAACUGAGGAGGAAAACCGGCGUUUUAUUUUAAUAAAAAUCGACCAACCCCAAUCCAAGUCCCGAGGGCGAUAAAUCAACGACAUGGACAAGUCGCUAUCAGAAAUCUUUGGUGAAAAUUGCGGCAGCGUCGCGGCGAGAAGCUUGUUUGUGACGCCAUUCAUAAGGCAAAAAGAUCCCGGCUUUUCAUUUCGAAGUGUAAAAUCUUACUAUUUUAAAAACAGAAACGAAAUGAGUUUUCGGCGUGGACGUGGUGUUGGCAAUGGAAGGUUUCCGGUGGGAGAGAUAUGGACAGCGGACGGGGAAGAGGUGGAGGCAGAGAUAGUGGCCCACCAAGAGGAGCAGACAGGCUUUAAAAUCACACUUCUGACGCAUCAAUGGCCAGUGCCCGAAUUUUUGUGGGAAACCUGCCCACCAAUGACCCUAGACUCACCAAAGAGUUGCUAGAAGAGAAUUUAAGUCAAUACGGACACAUAAUGGGCAUAUCCAUUCUGAAAGGCUUCAGAUUCAUCCAAUACGCUGAUGAAAUCAGUGCAGAGCAUGCCAUUAGAGGAGCUCAGAACAUGGAAAUCCUUGCUCACCGAAUGGGUAAAUUGCAGUCGAGAGUGAAAACAUGUGGAGCCAGUUG
rnacentral:lncRNA from 1 species